UCAAGGUCCUCAUGGCCUUUAUGCCCAGGGCUACACACGUGCUACAAUGGGUGGUACAAAGAGCAGCCAGCUCGCGAGAGUGAGCAAAUCUCAAAAAGCCAUCCUCAGUUCGGAUUGAAGUCUGCAACUCGACUUCAUGAAGUUGGAAUCGCUAGUAAUCGCGGAUCAGCAUGCCGCGGUGAAUACCGGUUCCCGGGCCUU
rnacentral:rRNA from 1 species